AAUUGUUCGCAAUGGGCGAAAGCCUGACGACGCAACGCCGCGUGGAGGACGAAGAUCUUCGGGUCGUAAACUCCUUUCGAUCGGGAAGAAUGGCUUCCGGGUUAACAGCCCGGAGGAACGACGGUACCGAGAGAAGAAGCACCGGCUAACUCUGUGCCAGCAGCCGCGGUAAUACAGAGGGUGCGAGCGUUGUCCGGAAUCACUGGGCGUAAAGGGCGCGUAGGCGGUCCGCUAAGUGGGUGGUGAAAGCUCGGGGCUCAACCCCGAGUCGGCCGUGCAAACUGGUGGACUGGAGCAUGUCAGAGGCAGGCGGAAUUCCGGGUGUAGCGGUGGAAUGCGUAGAGAUCCGGAAGAACACCGGUGGCGAAGGCGGCCUGCUGGGACAUGGCUGACGCUGAGGCGCGACAGCGUGGGGAGCAAAC
rnacentral:rRNA from 1 species